rnacentral:rRNA from 1 species
UACGGGGGGGGCAAGCGUUGUUCGGAAUUACUGGGCGUAAAGGGCGCGUAGGCGGCCUACUAAGUCGGACGUGAAAUCCCUCGGCUCAACCGGGGAACUGCGUCCGAUACUGGUGGGCUCGAAUCCGGGAGAGGGAUGUGGAAUUCCAGGUGUAGCGGUGAAAUGCGUAGAUAUCUGGAGGAACACCGGUGGCGAAGGCGGCAUUCUGGACUGUAACUGACACUGAGGAACGAAAGCCAGGGGAGCAAACGGG